rnacentral:rRNA from 1 species
GGUAAUUUAGUUUAAGGACAACAACGCAUUACCAUGUUUAACAUGAAUAGUUAAAAUCUUAAACACCUAUUAUCCCCUAAAUAUAAAGGGAGAUAUGGGU